CGGUGUUUAACUGGCGUGAUGUGGGACGUCCUACCGGUGGGCUUAGCCUCGCGAGGGGCGGCCCAACUAAUAUCCCGUCGCGGUGCUCUUUACUGAGUGUCGAGUCGGGCCGGUACGUUUACUUUGAACAAAUUAGAGUGCUUAAAGCAGGCUAUCCUCGCCUGAAUACUGCGUGCAUGGAAUAAUGGAAUAGGACCUCGGUUCUAUUUUGUUGGUUUUCGGAACCCCGAGGUAAUGAUUAAUAGGGACAGAUGGGGGCAUUCGUAUUGCGACGUUAGAGGUGAAAUUCUUGGAUCGUCGCAAGACGGACAGAAGCGAAAGCAUUUGCCAAAAAUGUUUUCAUUAAUCAAGAACGAAAGUUAGAGGUUCGAAGGCGAUCAGAUACCGCCCUAGUUCUAACCAUAAACGAUGCCAGCUAGCGAUCCGCCGAAGUUCCUCCGAUGACUCGGCGGGCAGCUUCCGGGAAACCAAAGCUUUUGGGUUCCGGGGGAAGUAUGGUUGCAAAGCUGAAACUUAAAGGAAUUGACGGAAGGGCACCACCAGGAGUGGCGCCUGCGGCUUAAUUUGACUCAACACGGGAAACCUCACCAGGCCCAGACACCGGAAGGAUUGACAGAUUGAUAGCUCUUUCUUGAUUCGGUGGGUGGUGGUGCAUGGGCCGUUCUUAGUUGGUGGAGCGAUUUGUCUGGUUAAUUCCGAUAACGAACGAGACUCUAGCCUGCUAAAUAGGCGUACCUUAUGGUAUCGCGAAGGCCCCCGGCUUCGGCCGGUGGGUUUUUACUACCAACGUACAAACAAAUCUUCUUAGAGGGACAGGCGG
rnacentral:rRNA from 1 species